UAGGGUGAUCAACCAUCCUGGUUUGCUCUGGACUGUCUCAGUGUCAGUUUUAAAAAGCACAGAAAGUCUGGCAAAUUGGGACAGAUGAUCACCCUAUUCCAGG
rnacentral:miRNA from 1 species